rnacentral:lncRNA from 10 species
CCGGCACUCUGUCCUUCAAUCUGCUCAUCGCAGUCACUUCCUCCUGACCGUGGACUCUUCUUCCCAGCCUUUUCCUUCAAGCUGGAGGCCCGGAAGUGUGCAGAGGACAGUGAGGGGCCUCAAGUGUGGACAUCACAUGAGUACUGAAGAAGGACCCCUAGGGCUUCCGUGAAAAGAGGCCUCCAAUUGCAAAGCUGCUUUCUAUCAGACGAGGUCACGGACAGUAGUGAGGAGUGGCAGGCGGGAGGGGUGCCUGGCUGCCGGCCCACCCCACCCAGGACGAGGCAGCCCUCAGCGGAAUGGAAGACUCUGUGGCCAGUGCUCUUUGGGGCCUUGGCACCAGGUCCUCAGCAGCUGGGCCAGCCCUGCUACUCCCUCAUCCUGGAAGAGCCCCAGAGAAUAGGGGCCAUGCCCAUGCCCGCUGUGUCCCCUGCACCCCACGCAGGCUGGGGCACAGC